UAGUGCAGUUGUAGAUAGCCUUAGCUGUGCAUUGCUCUCUUUGCAUCAGUCAAUAUUAUCAGACAUGGAAAAUUGAGGAAGACUGCAAGAAGACCACCCGAAGUCCCCUAAAGUCGAUUGGCUCUUAUCCAGAGCUAAUCAGAUAUGCAUGAUAUUAGGCUGAUUUAUGAGUUCUUGAUGUAUUUUUAGUGAUUUUAUGUAAUGUAACUUAGUUUUUUAGGAUUUUUCUUUACAAUUUUUAGUUGUAGGCUGGUGUAAUAGCUAUAUUUACUUCAUAUCCUUUAUUUUUACUUUAAUCUGUGAUGGAUGCCAAA